CUUGAGUGUAUUUCUCAACCCUUUAUUGCUUCCAUUUUUAUAAUAAUAGCAAUAAUUUUUAUUUCUUAGGAAUUUAGUGAAGUUAAUUUCUGGAUUCCAUUUAUUUCAUUUGGUUAACUUAAUUUACUUUAUUUGUACCACACUCUGGAGUCAGAUACAGACAAGCUUAGAACUGUUACAAAUGGUUUUCUCAGAACACUUUUGGCAUAUUUUCUGCAUUACCUGUUUGGAAACUGUCAUUUCCUGCCGACCAGCUCUUUGACAACUUUGCCCUGGGCUCAGUAAUUGGUGCUAAUGCAGUCUUUGACUUCUCUUUGGUUGAGUGUUUUUCUUAAGAUUCUUCUUCACUUUUAAUUAUGUGACUAUGUGGGGGACUGUACACAUGAGUGCAGAUGCUUGUUGAGGCCAAAAGAAGGCAUCAAAACUUCAGGAGCUGGAGUUACAGGCAUUUGGGAGCCGGCAAGUGUGGUUGCUGAGAACUGACAGAACUGGCAAGCAUGCUUUAAUCUCUCCAGCUCCAGGUUAAUUAAAAAAAAAAUCUUGUAAAUAAGUAAAUUAUGGUGAAAAGAACACAGUCAUAUUAUAAUCACCUACAAGGUAAUGGUUUUAUCUAUGGUGAUUUAAAGAGAAUUACUUUGUAGUCAAUCACUUUUGCUUUCCUUGUUUUUGUUUUGAGAUGGGGGCUCAUGUAUUCCAGGCUGUUCUCAAAAUCACUAUGUAGCCAAGGAUGUCCUUGAACUGAUCAUCCGGCCACCAUCUCCUGAGUGAUGGAAUUACAUGUGAUCUCAUGUAGCCAAGACUGGCAUUGAACUCAGUAUAUAACUGAGGAUAGUCUUGAACUCCCGUCCCUCCUGCUUCUCCUCCUGAGUGCUGGGAUCACAGGCAUGAACCCCCAUGUCUGGUAUAUAGUGCUGGAGAGAAGGAGCCCAGGGCCUCCUGAAGCCUGACCAGCUGAGCUACACGCCCUGUCCCUAAGAUGUGUUAUCAGCUGGCUGAGAAGAAAGCAUGACUUUACCUCUUGACAAAGCUGCCAGCCAAGGGAAAGACAUGGAGACUAAAAGGAAAGCCAGCCCUUCCUGGAAGAAAGAAUCCAUCAAAUUCAAGGAAAUAGAAGAGUUUUGAACUGAAAUAAUGAAAACCAAGUUUGAUUUGAAACAAGUGUUUGAAGUGUAAAAGAACAGAGAUAGAAGACGAAAAAGAACCGCUGUUAUACAUCUAGAAACUAUGUUUGCAUUUAAA
rnacentral:lncRNA from 1 species